rnacentral:sRNA from 1 species
CUGCAGCCCGACUUGAGCGGAAAUCCUUUUUUGCCAAACUUCAAGUUAUAUUUAAACUGAAAUCGUCGUGCAAAAAAGAUUGGGAGCGGAAGGCGGAUAAAGC